UACGUAGGGGGGCAAGCGUUUGUCCGGAAUCAUUGGGCGUAAAGAGCGUGUAGGCGGUCCGGUAAGUCGGCUGUGAAAGUCCAGGGCUCAACCCUGGAAUGCCGGUGGAAACUGUCGGGCUAGAGUCCGGAAGAGGCGAGUGGAAUUCCUGGUGUAGCGGUGAAAUGCGCAGAUAUCAGGAGGAACACCAUGGCGAAGGCAGCUCGCUGG
rnacentral:rRNA from 1 species